GAUGAACGCUGGCGGCGUGCCUAAUACAUGCAAGUCGAGCGGACGGACGAGAAGCUUGCUUCUCUGAUGUUAGCGGCGGACGGGAGUGUCACACGUGGAUAACCUACCUAUAUGUCUGGUAUAACUUCGGGACACCGGAGCUUAUACCGGAUAAUAUUUUGCUCCGCAUGGUGCAAAAGUGAAAGACGGUCUUUCUGUCUCUAAUAGAUGGAUCUGGGCUGCAUUAGCUAGUUGGUAAGUUAACGGCUUACCAAGGCAACGAGGCAUAGCCGACGUGAGAGGGGGAUCGCCCACACUGGAACUGAAACACGGUCAAGAGUACUACGAGAGGCAGCAGUAGGGAACGGGACGCAAUGGGCGAGAGUCUGACGGAGCAGGGCCGCGUGAGUGAUGGAGGUCUUCGGAUCGGGAAGCCCGGUUACGAGGGAAGAACAGAUGUGGAAGGAACUGUACACAGCGUGACGGUACCUAAUCAAAAAGCCACGGCUAACUACGUG
rnacentral:rRNA from 1 species